rnacentral:rRNA from 1 species
UACAGAGGGGGCAAGCGUUGUUCGGAAUUACUGGGCGUAAAGGGCGCGUAGGCGGCCGCCUAAGUCAGACGUGAAAUCCCUCGGCUCAACCGGGGAACUGCGUCUGAUACUGGGUGGCUUGAAUCCGGGAGAGGGAUGCGGAAUUCCAGGUGUAGCGGUGAAAUGCGUAGAUAUCAGGAGGAACACCGAUGGCGAAGGCAGGUCUCUGGGCAUUAACUGACGCUGAGGAGCGAAAGCAUGGGGAGCGAACAGG